CCCUUUAAAGAAAGCGUAAUAGCUCACUGGUCGAGUCGGCCUGCACGUAAGAUUUAACGGGGCUAAGCUAUGCACUGAAGUUGCGGAAUAUAUUUAGUAUAUUGGUAGGGGAGCGUUCUGUAAGCCGAUGAAGGUGAAUUGAGAAGUUUGCUGGAGGUAUCAGAAGUGCGAAUGCUGACAUGAGUAACGUAAAAUAAGUGAGAUUCUUAUUGGCCGAAAACCCAAGGGUUCCUACGCAAUGUUAAUCAACGUAGGGUAAGCCGGCCCCUAAGGCGUAGCUGAAGAGUGAAGUCGAUGGGAAACAGGUUAAUAUUCCUGUGCUGCUUAUAUGAACGAAGGAGGGACGGAGAAGGUUAGGUAGGCCUGGCGAAUGGUUGUCCAGGUGAAAGUAUGUAGGUAGGAAUGCUAGGCAAAUCCGGUGUUCUGUUGAUCUGAGAUACGAGACGAAGUUAAACUUGUUUGACGAAGCUAUUGAUACCAUGCUUCCAGGAAAAGCUUCUAAGUAUAUUGUAUAAGUGACCGUACUGUAAACCGACACUGGUGGGUAGGUAGAGAAUACUAAGGCUAUGAGAUAACUCUGGUGAAGGAACUAGGCAAAAUGACACCGUAACUUUGGAAGAAGGUGUGCCCUUGAUGGUGAUGAGACUUGCUCUUUGAGCUGUUGGGGGUUGCAGAUACCAGGUGGCUGCGACUGUUUAUCAAAAACACAGCACUCUGCGAAAUCGUAAGAUGAAGUAUAGGGUGUGACGCCUGCCCGGUGCUGGAAGGUUAAUUGAAGGGGUUAGCGCAAGCGAAGCUCUGGAUCGAAGCCCCAGUAAACGGCGGCCGUAACUAUAACGGUCC
rnacentral:rRNA from 1 species